AUACUUACCUGGCAGGGGAAGUACCACGAUCAAGAAGGUGGUACUUCCCAGGGCGAGGCUCAUCCACUGCACUCUGAGUGUGCUGACCCCUGCGAUUUCCCCAAAUGUGGGAAACUUGCUUGCAUAAUUUGUGGUAGUGGGGGGACUGCGUUUGUGCUCUCACCUU